GGAAAUGAAGACAGCCAUAUUGCUCGCCCAGUGCUUGCUGCUGGAAUGUGACUCCCACUGUACCUUUCGGGAAAAUGUGAGCCAAGGAUAAGAGAUGUGGUUCCCUUGGCUCCCUGCUCUUCAGGCCAUGUGGCGGAACAGUCCCGCUCAUGGCUUUCAGGAAUUACGUGUCAGUUCUCUGUUUCAGAUACAGAGACUAAUAUCUAAUUCAGCUGUCACCGUGUGAAUGCCUCCUCUUCGGCAAGGAACGGAAGCCUUAGAGUGGUCGUCUGUUGGUCAAGCCUUCCCCUCUGCCAUCUCCUGUGUCUGGUUCUCAGACCCGACCCUCCAUAGAGGAAACAAUUGUUACCUGCUGGUGUCUCCUUGUAGAAUUUCCCUGUGUUUAGAUAUAGACAGAUAGAAG